rnacentral:rRNA from 1 species
AUACGGAGGGUGCAAGCGUUAUUCGGAAUCACGGGGCGUAAAGGACGCGUAGGCGGGUUGGCAAGUCAGAUGUGAUAUCCUACAGCUUAACUGUAGAACUGCAUUUGAAACUGCCGACCUAGAGUAUGGGAGGGGGAGAUGGAAUUAGUGGUGUAGGGGUAAAAUCCGUAGAUAUCAGUAGGAAUACCGAAAGCGAAGGCGAUCUCCUGGAACAUAACUGACGCUAAGGCGUGAAAGCGUGGGGAGCAAACAGGAUUAGAAACCCUAGUAGUCC